ACGCUCGACACCUACGGGAGGUAGCAGUGGGGAAUAUUGCACAAUGGGGGAAACCCUGAUGCAGCGACGCCGCGUGAGCGAAGAAGUAUUUCGGUAUGUAAAGCUCUAUCAGCAGGGAAGAAAGUGACGGUACCUGACUAAGAAGCACCGGCUAAAUACGUGCCAGCAGCCGCGGUAAUCUGAGCGGGCUGGCAAGGC
rnacentral:rRNA from 1 species